CCUACGGGUGGCAGCAGUGGGGAAUAUUGGACAAUGGGGGGAACCCUGAUCCAGCCAUGCCGCGUGUGUGAAGAAGGCCCUCGGGUUGUAAAGCACUUUCAGUGAGGAAGAACGCCUGGUGGUUAAUACCCAUCAGGAAAGACAUCACUCACAGAAGAAGCACCGGCUAACUCCGUGCCAGCAGCCGCGGUAAUACGGAGGGUGCGAGCGUUAAUCGGAAUUACUGGGCGUAAAGCGCGCGUAGGUGGCUUGAUAAGCCGGUUGUGAAAGCCCCGGGCUCAACCUGGGAACGGCAUCCGGAACUGUCAAGCUAGAGUGCAGGAGAGGAAGGUAGAAUUCCCGGUGUAGCGGUGAAAUGCGUAGAGAUCGGGAGGAAUACCAGUGGCGAAGGCGACCUUCUGGACUGACACUGACACUGAGGUGCGAAAGCGUGGGUAGCAAACAGGAUUAGAUACCCCGGUAGUC
rnacentral:rRNA from 1 species